AAGGAUCAUUGCACACACG
rnacentral:rRNA from 1 species